rnacentral:snRNA from 1 species
AUCAAUAAGCGGAGGAAA